CGGGAAUUUUGGGCAAUGGGCGAAAGCCUGACCCAGCAACGCCGCGUGAGGGAUGAAGUAUUUCAGUAUGUAAACCUCGAAAGAAUGGGAAGAAUAAAUGACGGUACCAUUUAUAAGCUCCGGCUAACUACGUGCCAGCAGCCGCGGUAAUACGUAGGGAGCAAGCGUUGUUCGGAUUUACUGGGCGUAAAGGGCGCGUAGGCGGCGCGGUAAGUCACUUGUGAAAUCUCUGAGCUUAACUCAGAACGGCCAAGUGAUACUGCUGUGCUAGAGUGCGGAAGAGGCAACCGGAAUUCUUGGUGUAGCGGUGAAAUGCGUAGAUAUCAAGAGGAACACCUGAGGCGAAGGCGGGUUGCUGGGCCGACACUGACGCUGAUGCGCGAAAGCCAGGGGAGCAAACG
rnacentral:rRNA from 1 species